GGAAGGUGUUCACUAGAUAGUUCCUCAAAUGAGUCAAUGGACAGUGAAUGGGGAAUGGAGUGGACGGUGGACGGGAGGGAACACCUAUGCUGCAUGAGUCAGAAGCAAGUAUCAGAAGAUGAUGGAUCUCAUUACUUAGUGAGAGAAAAGAAGGCCUCAAACCCAUUGCACAUGGGUAGGGAGGAUGAAAAGAAACACCCACAGAGUUAAGCCACAACACUGGGAAAACUGAUGGAUUUGUGAACAUGGGAGAUAAACUUGACAAAGACUCCAGAUGCACCAGGAGUGGGAUAUGAAUGGGAAGGAUGGCCCUCCAGACAGCUGGCAGAGGACUUCCCCUUUAGGGCAAAACACAUGGUUGAA
rnacentral:lncRNA from 1 species